UACGUAGGGUGCAAGCGUUGUCCGGAAUUAUUGGGCGUAAAGAGCUCGUAGGCGGUUUGUCGCGUCUGAUGUGAAAACUCGGGGCUUAACCCCGGGCCUGCAGUGGGUACGGGCAGACUAGAGUGCGGUAGGGGAGACUGGAAUUCCUGGUGUAGCGGUGAAAUGCGCAGAUAUCAGGAGGAACACCGGUGGCGAAGGCGGGUCUCUGGGCCGUAACUGACGCUGAGGAGCGAAAGCGUGGGGAGCGAACAGG
rnacentral:rRNA from 1 species